rnacentral:rRNA from 1 species
CUUGCUCUCCUAUAAGAGGUCCAGCCUGCCCAGUGACUUAAUUCAACGGCCGCGGUACCCUAACCGUGCGAAGGUAGCGUAAUCACUUGUCUUCUAAAUAGAGACUAGUAUGAAAGGCAUCACGAGAAUUUAACUGUCUCCUUUUUCCAAUCAGUGAAACUAAUCUUCCCGUGAAGAAGCGGGAAUCCAAAAAUAAGACGAGAAGACCCUAUGGAGCUUUAAACACUAACCACCUGCCCAAUCUUAUAAAACCCCGGUUCCUAAACCAACGCAUCAUGACUACGUGUUUUUGAUUGGGGCGACCACGGAAAAUAAUCAAACCUCCGUAAUGAAAACCUACAAGCCACAGCUUUAAGUAUCAACAAAUUGACAUCCAUUGACCCAAUAUAUUGACUAAUGAAC